CGCCUGUCAGGGUCACAACUGGAGAGUUUCCAGUACUCUACCAGUCAUGACGACAGGAGGGAGAGUCAAGCAGAGGCCUCCCCAUUCCAUUCCUAGCUUGGGCAGUGGCUAGUGAGUGGAAGACAACCUGCUACAAGU